UGCGGGGUGGUGCAGCGGCAGCACGUCUGGUUCUGGCCCAGAAGACCGAGGGUUCGAAUCCUUCCCCCGCAGCCA
rnacentral:tRNA from 1 species